rnacentral:RNase_P_RNA from 1 species
GCAAGCAAGCGGUCCGUCGCUCGCCCUGAGCGUUGUCGAAGGACGAGGGGCGAGAGGAACUUCCCGACUCCCAUUCUGAUGCAAAUCGGAGCGGUUGCCUCACGAAACAGCAAGUGAGGGCACACGACCCCCACCCAACCUCCCCCGUCUUUGACAGGGGAGGGGAACGCGGGGGUGGUGUGACGACAACUGCAACAGAAAGCAAACCUACCCCCACCCUAAGUGGGGGCGAUGGCUGAAACGGUGGGGUAAGAGCCCACCAGCGUUGCAGGUGACUGCGGCGGCUGGGUGAAUGUCCAACUGGGAGCAAGGCGGGUGGGAUCGGCUCGCGUGUGCUUCGUCGUUCGCGGCGAGGACAGCAGUUGAUUCCCGUCGCAGCGGUGAUGCUGAUGGAGCAACUCUCCGUUAGGCAAUCACUGCCGGCAAUGCCGAGACAGAUGACGGACGAAACAGAAUCGGGGGUAUGGCUUGCUUGCCUCC